AAUUGGAGGGCAAGUCUGGUGCCAGCAGCCGCGGUAAUUCCAGCUCCAAUAGCGUAUAUUAAAGUUGUUGCAGUUAAAAAGCUCGUAGUUGAAUUUCGGGAUCAAUAUUUCGGUCAUGCCGUUGGUAUGCACUGUUAUCAUUGAUUUCUCACCUUCUAAAGAACCGUAAUGCCAUUAAUUUGGUGUUACGGGGAAUUAGGACUGUUACCUUGAAAAAAUUAGAGUGUUUAAAGCAGGCUCACGCUUGAAUACAUUAGCAUGGAAUAAUGAAAUAGGACAUCCGAUUCUAUUUUGUUGGUUUCUAGGAUCGAUGUAAUGAUUAAUAGGGAUAGUUGGGGGCAUUAGUAUUCAAUUGUCAGAGGUGAAAUUCUUGGAUUUAUUGAAGACUAACUACUGCGAAAGCAUUUGCCAAGGAUGUUUUCAUUAAUCAAGAACGAAAGUUAGGGGAUCGAAGACGAUCAGAUACCGUCGUAGUCCUAACCAUAAACUAUGCCGACUAGGGAUCGGAUGAUGUUAAUUUUUUAAUGACUCAUUCGGCGCCUUACGGGAAACCAAAGUGU
rnacentral:rRNA from 1 species